GCAAGUCGAACGGGGAACUUUUUUAGCUUGCUUUAAAAGUUCCUAGUGGCGAACGGGUGAGUAACACGUGAGUUACCUGCCCUGAAGCGGGGGAUAGCCCGGGGAAACUCGGAUUAAUACCCUAUGUGAUCGCAAGAUUAAAGGCGGCUAUUUAUUUAGCUGUCGCUUCAGGAUGGGCUCGCGGCCUAUCAGCUAGUUGGCGGGGUAAAGGCCCACCAAGGCGAUGACGGGUAGCUGGUCUGAGAGGACGACCAGUCACACUGGAACUGAGACACGGUCCAGACACCUACGGGUGGCAGCAGUCGAGAAUCAUUCGCAAUGGACGAAAGUCUGACGGUGCGACGCCGCGUGGAGGAUGAAGGCCCUAGGGUCGUAAACUCCUGUCAUCAGGGAGUAAAAACUUACGUAGUAACUGACGUGGGUCUUGAUAGUACCUGAAGAGGAAGGGACGGCAAACUUCGUGCCAGCAGCCGCGGUAAUACGAAGGUCCCAAGCGUUGUUCGGAUUUACUGGGCGUAAAGAGUCUGUAGGCGGUAUGGUAAGUCAGAUGUGAAAUCCCGGGGCUCAACCCCGGAACUGCAUCCGAUACUGCCAUACUAGAGUAUUGGAGGGGAGUCUGGAAUUCUCGGUGUAGCAGUGAAAUGCGUAGAUAUCGAGAGGAACACUAGUGGCGAAGGCGAGACUCUGGACAAUAACUGACGCUGAGAGACGAAGGCCAGGGUAGCGAAAAGGAUUAGAUACCCUUGUAGUCCUGGCAGUAAACGGUGCACGCUUGGUGUGGGAAGGUUCGACCCUUUCCGUGCCGGAGCUAACGCGUUAA
rnacentral:rRNA from 1 species